rnacentral:rRNA from 1 species
GCGGCAGGCCUAACACAUGCAAGUCGAACGGUAACAGGAAGCAGCUUGCUGCUUCGCUGACGAGUGGCGGACGGGUGAGUAAUGUCUGGGAAACUGCCUGAUGGAGGGGGAUAACUACUGGAAACGGUAGCUAAUACCGCAUAACGUCGCAAGACCAAAGAGGGGGACCUUCGGGCCUCUUGCCAUCGGAUGUGCCCAGAUGGGAUUAGCUAGUAGGUGGGGUAACGGCUCACCUAGGCGACGAUCCCUAGCUGGUCUGAGAGGAUGACCAGCCACACUGGAACUGAGACACGGUCCAGACUCCUACGGGAGGCAGCAGUGGGGAAUAUUGCACAAUGGGCGCAAGCCUGAUGCAGCCAUGCCGCGUGUAUGAAGAAGGCCUUCGGGUUGUAAAGUACUUUCAGCGGGGAGGAAGGCGGUGAGGUUAAUAACCUUGUCGAUUGACGUUACCCGCAGAAGAAGCACCGGCUAACUCCGUGCCAGCAGCCGCGGUAAUACGGAGGGUGCAAGCGUUAAUCGGAAUUACUGGGCGUAAAGCGCACGCAGGCGGUCUGUCAAGUCGGAUGUGAAAUCCCCGGGCUCAACCUGGGAACUGCAUUCGAAACUGGCAGGCUAGAGUCUUGUAGAGGGGGGUAGAAUUCCAGGUGUAGCGGUGAAAUGCGUAGAGAUCUGGAGGAAUACCGGUGGCGAAGGCGGCCCCCUGGACAAAGACUGACGCUCAGGUGCGAAAGCGUGGGGGAGCAAACAGGAUUAGAUACCCUGGUAGUCCACGCCGUAAACGAUGUCGACUUGGAGGUUGUGCCCUUGAGGCGUGGCUUCCGGAGCUAACGCGUUAAGUCGACCGCCUGGGGAGUACGGCCGCAAGGUUAAAACUCAAAUGAAUUGACGGGGGCCCGCACAAGCGGUGGAGCAUGUGGUUUAAUUCGAUGCAACGCGAAGAACCUUACCUACUCUUGACAUCCAGAGAACUUUCCAGAGAUGGAUUGGUGCCUUCGGGAACUCUGAGACAGGUGCUGCAUGGCUGUCGUCAGCUCGUGUUGUGAAAUGUUGGGUUAAGUCCCGCAACGAGCGCAACCCUUAUCCUUUGUUGCCAGCGGUCCGGCCGGGAACUCAAAGGAGACUGCCAGUGAUAAACUGGAGGAAGGUGGGGAUGACGUCAAGUCAUCAUGGCCCUUACGAGUAGGGCUACACACGUGCUACAAUGGCGCAUACAAAGAGAAGCGACCUCGCGAGAGCAAGCGGACCUCAUAAAGUGCGUCGUAGUCCGGAUUGGAGUCUGCAACUCGACUCCAUGAAGUCGGAAUCGCUAGUAAUCGUGGAUCAGAAUGCCACGGUGAAUACGUUCCCGGGCCUUGUACACACCGCCCGUCACACCAUGGGAGUGGGUUGCAAAAGAAGUAGGUAGCUUAACCUUCGGGAGGGCGCUUACCACUUUGUGAUUCAUGACUGGGGU